AGAGACAGCAGUAGCCGCGGUAAUACGUAGGUCCCGAGCGUUGUCCGGAUUUAUUGGGCGUAAAGCGAGCGCAGGCGGUUAGAUAAGUCUGAAGUUAAAGGCUGUGGCUUAACCAUAGUACGCUUUGGAAACUGUUUAACUUGAGUGCAAGAGGGGAGAGUGGAAUCCCAUGUGUAGCGAUGAAAUGCGUAGAUAUAUGGAGGAACACCGGUGGCGAAAGCGGCUCUCUGGCUUGUAACUGACGCUGAGGCUCGAAAGCGUGGGGAGCAAACAGGAUUAGAGACCCCCGUAGUCCCUGUCUCUUAUACA
rnacentral:rRNA from 1 species